GGAUAUUGUGCUGAUGGCAAUGAGGUAUGGGCUUCAUAUUAUUUAAAUAUUAGUAACUAACCCUUUUGGCAUAAAUAAAUAGUAUUUCAUAUAAAAAGAGAAUGCAAAAGUACUCAGCUCACAACUUAGGGGAAUGGACUCUUAUCCCCCUUUGUUACUAAAGCGGAGUGAACAUCUGCAUCCUUUCAUGCUAAGCCUUCUGAAUCGUGGCGUCCAGUAUAAUAGCAUUUUUUAGUAGUCAAUUGAAGAACAUACCUUGCCUCUCCAACAAUAUAUUUCUUUUAUUCAUAUCUGGGAACCAAGCCAAUUCUCUGGUUUAUCUUUUGUUGCUUUGUGUGUAUUGAUUAGGGUGGUUUAGAUUGUUGGAUUUUAUAUGAUUGUGCUUAAACCUGAAACAUGCUAUUUCACUCUUUUAAGUCUGGAUUUUGAAUAGCUUCCUUAAUACGUUCAUAUUCUUUUUUUUUAAUUUUGUUUUUAUUUUAAAUAAUGUUAUGCUGGAACUUUCCACCUGAUUCAGUUUGCCUGGAGUAUGAUUUUCUCCAUUUUCCCAAAAUUUCACUAUCCAGAGAAGUUCCUGGCCUUUGAUUUAGCUAUAUUUCAAUUAAUUGUGCUUCAGAUAUCGCCCUUAUGAAUAUUGCAUGAUUGUCUAUACUCCUGCAUGUCAGUUUGUUUAUUUAGUAUAAAAAAUUUUAUGUUCCCUAUCUGUUUAGUGCUUGAUGACUCUCUGUGUACUCACAAUCUCACAAAAACUUUUGAGUGGUAAAAAUUCAAUAACUCUGCUAUACAGUGUCGGAAGAAGCACAGCUAUGUCUGCCCCACUUAUGAAGCAACCGGAUCCUGUCCUCAAGGAUCCAAAUGCAAGCUUCAUCAUCCAAAAAAUAGAAGCAAGGGAAAGAAAAGCAAGCAAUCACGAGAGAAGAAGAUUGACCAAGGGCGGUACUUUGGUUCAACGCAUAUAAAUGUUUCUGAACCUGGAACUGCAGUGUCUGAAACACACUCAGCACAAGAUAAUUCUAAGAUUUGCUUUGAAGGAAGCA
rnacentral:misc_RNA from 1 species